rnacentral:lncRNA from 1 species
CGUUAGGCGUCCGUUUUGUACGGUACUCGUCCGUUUUGUAUCCGUUACGUGUCCGUUAUGCAUCCGUUGGAGAUCCGGUAGACCAAUUCACUAACGAACGUCUACCGGACGCUUACCGGACGCCUAACGGACGCCUAACGGAUAAAACGGAUGUGAAACGGACAUUAACGGAAGGAUAACGGAUAAAACGGAUGGCUACUGAUAGUUUAUUCUCAUAAAACCAUGCAAGUGCAAAUGUUACAGAGAAGUUGAAAAAUAAUAUACAUAAAAAACAAAAUAUGCAUUAGAAAUGCAUAAAAUUGAAAAAUACUAGAUGUAAAACGGACAAAUGCCAAUUGAAAUUUAGCGUCAGAAAUGCCAAUAUAUGGUAUGUUAGAUUUUUUUGAGUGUCAUGACUAUUUAUUAUUCGUGAUGGAUCUUGGAGUAAGAGCACGUCUUCGCUACCAAGCAGCUCUUAUUCAGGCCAGACUCAACUUAAAUGUAGCAAAUAUAAACCUUAUAGCUGUCGAAAGGAGAAGACAAAGGAGAUGGUUGACACGACCAUGGCUUAGUCCUGAAAGACGACGCAGCUUUGGUCUAUAUGACCAACUCAUGAAGAAACGUAAAAAAAAAUCGGAUAAAUUGUUCAAUUUGUUUG